AGGACGAACGCUGGCGGCGUGCUUAACACAUGCAAGUCGAGCGAGGCCCUUCCUUCGGGAAGGUGCCCUAGCGGCGAACGGGUGAGUAACACGUGGGCAACCUGCCCCUAGCACUGGGAUAACUCCGGGAAACCGGGGCUAAUACCGGAUAUGACCUUUGAGGGCAUCCUCGAAGGUGUAAAGGAUUCUGGCUAGGGAUGGGCCCGCGGCCUAUCAGCUUGUUGGUGGGGUAACGGCCUACCAAGGCGACGACGGGUAGCCGGCCUGAGAGGGCGACCGGCCACACUGGGACUGAGACACGGCCCAGACUCCUACGGGAGGCAGCAGUGGGGAUAUUGCACAAUGGGCGAAAGCCUGAUGCAGCGACGCCGCGUGAGGGAUGACGGCCUUCGGGUUGUAAACCUCUUUCAGCAGGGACGAAGCGAAAGUGACGGUACCUGCAGAAGAGCACCGGCCAACUACGUGCCAGCAGCCGC
rnacentral:rRNA from 1 species